UAAAAACUUCUUUUUAAUUGUACUUGAAAUUUUGCUUUUAUUUGAGAUAUAGUCGCAACACACAAUAAACACUAAUUGCAACUUCCAGAAACUGUCACUUCAGUGAGUCUGUCAGUAAUAAUGUAUUAGCAAAAAAUAUGUUUUUCUAAAACUGAUAAAUCCCUUGGAAUGCCGGGAGAGAGGAGCAGUAUUCGUUAUAUUCGUUACGAGAAAGUUGAUAAAUUUUUGACAUCAUAAGGGAUUAGAUAUUAGAAGCAAUCCUCGUUAGAAAAAAUUCUGGUCACAGGGUUGGCCGGGCAAGUUGUGAAAAAUGAUUUGCCUUUCAUUGUACGCCCUCAUCGCCUCCGCUACGUUCCUUGCCUGCGCUCCUGUCUGCUAUCGGCAGUUUGAGAUGCACAAAUUUAUGAAGUGUCUCAAAAAAUAGGGAUUUUCUAAUUAUGAUAAUUUGCAUGACUUUACUCACAGCGUUCGUUGCAUUUGGAUGUAUUAGUUGUGGCCCGCUGAUAUUAGACGAAACCAUGAAGAAGUGGAAAAGUGAAAAGAAAGAGACUUCAGCGCAAACCAUGUGUCCACCUUGUGGCGAGUAGAAACCAAAUUGUUGAGUUUAUGUUGCAAUAUGUAAGGUUAAAAAAUAAACAGUUAAUUUGUACAAGUAA